CCCAGCAACGUCAACCUAAAGAAGGAAAGGCCAGUUUGCAUUUCCUUCACGCUCGAAGGUCACGGAGAUCUUAAAGUAAAACGUGCCAUGCAACAGGGGGAGAGGUUGGGUGAGGACGACACGUGAUGCAUCAUUAUCAAACAGGUGUAAUAACCGUAAGGUUUAAGAGAGGGGUCAGGGUAAGAAAAAAAUGUAUAAAAUGAGAGAGAAAAGGCAUUUGAAAUGAGUUGAGUGAGAAUCUCCGACACGGCAACAACUGCUGUGCACUUUUUGUCACCAACUGCAUUCUUCAUCGUACCGGUUCGCAACCAAAUGUAACUAUGGUGUCGUGCUGCUGUUGGUUGUCCUUGAUGGUUGGGUCGAAUACUGGUGUACCGAUGGCUCGUGGGUAUGGUGGAUACUAAACUGCAACGUCACCGUCUUACCAGACAACAUACGCAACAACCGGAUACUACACCACCAAAGCCCAGGAGUAUUACACCACAACUUAUGAUGUCCCGAACAUCUACACCGUAGGCUUAAGAAAUUCUACCUUGAGUUACAGCACCGGAGCACCACCAAGGCAGCGGAGUACUACACCACCAAGGCAGCGGAGUACUACACCACCAAGGCAGCGGAGUACUACACCACCAAGUUUGCUGCCCCAGCCCAUUAGACCGAGGCUCUAAGUACUACUCCGUUCCCAGCUACUACAUCGAGGCUCCAGUUUAUUCUUCCACCACGCGGUCAAAUACUACACCGAAGCGCCCAAGUCCUACUCUGCCCCUAAUUAUUACACAGCGGCUGCUCCUUCGUACUACGUUGGACCGAAAUACUGCACUGAGGCUCCAGCUUGCUGCACCUAGCUACACCUAGCUACACCUAGCUACACCUAGCUAAUACACCAAGCCCACAAGUAAUACAUCGACGAGGCCGCAAGUUGCAGUACAGCCCACGUUGCCCUUAGCUACCAUACCGAGGCUCCGCUCCCAAACCGACGCUUCCAAGUACUACACAACCAAGGCACCCGAGCUACUACUUAGGCUGCUCCGACCUACUGCACCGAAGCUGCGAAGUAUUCCACUGCCCCGAGUUACUACACCACCAAGGCACCUGAAUGUUACAUCACAACCUUCGCUUCUCCAGUUUACUACAGGGAGGCUCUUAAAUACCAGAGCCGAAAUUUCUGAUUUAUUUAUUUGUGUUUGUCGGUUGUUGUGAUUUGUCGGUCAUAUCUUAAUAGUUACUAGUAUUUGGGAAUAGUUGUUGAUCUUAAAUGAGAAAAUAAAUGUUUUAAUGGUAACCAUCUUCUGCGACAUCUCCUAAAACACCUUCAAGCCUUUUGACAUUGCGACUAUUUCAUGUGUUGGAGUCGUUUCUGUUGCUCCAAUCCGCUUUGCAUUCGGACAUAUUCUGGUGCUUGGACGAACUUCAUUUUCAGGGUUGGUGUAACAAAG